rnacentral:rRNA from 1 species
UACGUAGGGCAGCGACGUUGUUCGGAUUAUCGUGGCGUAAAGAGUAUGUAGGCGGCCUUGUAAGUCAGUUGUGAAAGCCCCGGGCUCAACCCGGGAAGUGCAAUUGAUACUGCUUGGCUUGAAUGUGGAAGAGGGCAGUAGAAUUCCAGGUGUAGUGGUGAAAUACGUAGAUAUCUGGAGGAAUACCGGUGGCGAAGGCGGCUGCCUGGUCCUACAUUGACGCUGAGAUACGAAAGCGUGGGAGCAAACAGG